GGAAAAUGCAACUGUCUAAAAGAUCUCACAGUUUUCGAGAACAGAGCAUUGAUAGUCAUGAAAAUAACCUGUUGCAGAAAUAUAUGGAGUGCGAUUCAACGUUUUGUGGUUCAGCUUUUUCCUGAACCCCACACAUAGCCAAAAGCUUUAGUGCAUUACACUCGUCACCUUUUUACUCAAUUCGUCUCAAAAUACUUCUUAUGAUUUGCUUUUUGAAAAUCAAUUUAAUCAAUCUUCAAAGC
rnacentral:misc_RNA from 1 species